rnacentral:lncRNA from 1 species
CUCACUCCUAAUAAAAGUAUGCAAUAUUUUACAUACAUGUAAUAUUUUACAGUCUAUCAGUAGCUCCAACCUGAAACAUAAUCAUUUGCCCCUUUGGUUGUUUAAAGUAAAAAUUCUCUUCUUUCAGGGAUAGGAAAACUAAGAUGUUACAGGUAUAGCUGCUUGCAAAUAUUUGUGAGUUACAGAGCUGGGUGGCACUUCAUCCAAACUCCAAAGUUCAAGUCAACAGCCCAUUCAGUGGUAACUAUUUUAGUGAACAAAGAUCUCCUGACUAUGUCUAUUUGUCCAAAUUCUACUCUCUCAUUUCAUUUCUAUUUCCCCUCACCCCACACAACACAUACAUGACUCAAACCUCAUAAACAAUGCAUGAAAGUGCACACAUCUCACACAAAUACACAUAUCACAUAGUUUUCACAUACUACAGAAACACACACAUUUACCUCAUAAACAGAACACAUUAACAUAUUCACUCUCCACACACACGCACACCUCAAAGACACACAGAACACAGUAAAAUAUACACAUUUCACUCACACACUUCCAUAUAUACCUGUCACACCACACAUAUACGUACCUCACAGACACACAUAACACAUGCCACACACACUACACUCACAUAAAAACUCAUGCAUUUAACAUUCAUAUAUAUAAACACAAAUCACAUAUAAAUCUCACAUACAUGCAAUCAACUCACAGGGACACACAUGUAUGUUCACAUACAGGGAAGAAAAGUUGUGAAUGUGGUCCAUCAGGUUACAAGACAUUAGACUAUAUUCUCCAGGGAAGGACACAGACUGCUAUAAGGCCGGAAAUGAACAGUUACAUGGUAGAAAAUCAGGGUGCCAACACCAUACUUUACGCACAGGGGUUGGACUCUCCAGGUUCAAGCUCAACGUGUUGACCAUCAGUAAAGAAUUCACAUCAGAAGAGCCUUCUCACAGGUAGGUAUUAAUAGUUUAACAAGUAAUUAAUAGCUUAACAAGUAUUAAAAGCUUGGGGGCCCUUGGGUUCAUAUACCUGAUAGUGUGAGUCACAUCAAGAUAAUUUUGGGCAUAACUGAUAUAGUUUAUUGAAUUUUAAAGUGUGGAAUUAAAUAAUAAGGUUAUUUCCUUUCCAUUUUGCUUCAGUUAUUCUCAUUGCCCGAAGGAAGAAGAGUUAAUUGGCCCUUCAUAUAUCUAUAUAUUUACUAAAUUCAUUUUUGGGUUUUUUGGUACCGGAGAUCGAACUCGGGUCCUUGUGCUUGUGCAGCAGGUGGCGAAACCACUGAGCUAAAUCCCCAGCCCUAAAUUCAUUUCUUUAAUAAAAGAGAAACCAAACCUUAGGCUCAGAGCCAUUUGCUGGUCAUGGUAUUUAGGCAAACUUGAAUUAUUUUGCCUUUUAUAUUGUAUUUUUUCAAUUCUCUUCCAUGUUUGAUAAAAGACACUGUAUUACAAUUUAUAAUAAUGACACAAAACUUCAUCUUUUAGCCAUAAG